UCGGGAAUAUUGCGGCAAUGGAGGAAACUCUGACGCAGUGACGCCGCGUGCAGGAAGAAGGUUUUCGGAUUGUAAACUGCUUUAGACAGGGAAGAAAAAAGACAGUACCUGUAGAAUAAGCCACGGCUAACUACGUGCCAGCAGCCGCGGUAAUACGUAGGUGACAAGCGUUGUCCGGAUUUACUGGGUGUAAAGGGCGUGUAGCCGGGCCUUUAAGUCAGAUGUGAAAUCCGCGGGCUUAACCCGCGAACUGCAUUUGAAACUGAGGGUCUUGAGUAUCGGAGAGGUAAUCGGAAUUCCUAGUGUAGCGGUGAAAUGCGUAGAUAUUAGGAAGAACACCAGUGGCGAAGGCGGAUUACUGGACGACAACUGACGGUGAGGCGCGAAAGCGU
rnacentral:rRNA from 1 species